CCCAUCGCACCCCUCCUCCCUGCUCCCAAUCUUCCCGCCGCCACCACCACCUCCUCGCAGCCUCCUCCCACGAUUCCCCGCACCCGAGCCCCACGAGAGGAGCUCUUCCUGUGGUUUUGCACGCCGGCGCCGGCGACCACCAGCCACAGCUUGCCAGAGCCAGCAGAUGAGUGCCACCCUUCUUCUCUGUUCUCUUCUUCCCGUGCUCUCUUUCUUCCUCCUUUUUCUCUCUCACACAUCUCGAUUACUCUCUCUGUCUCAAACAGUGCACUCCGCCGCCAUGGACCUUGCAGCGCGCCGCCCUGAUGCCAAGUCCCUCCUCGUCGUUCCUGCGCCGCCUAGCCGAAGCCUCGCCCAACUCCAAGCGCCGCCGCCGUUUGCCUCCUCGCCAUGGCCUCCCCUGCAUCGUCUGCUUCGCGGACAGAGCUCCGUCUCCGUCAACGUGUCCUCCCGCCGUCUCUGUUCGCUGUCGGGCUCGAUCGACUCUAGCAGCACCCCCACGGUGACGCUCCGCUCGGCACCCGAGGUAUAUCCCGGCUUCAUCGAUUUUAGAUAUGUGCUUGUUCUCGCAAGUUAAGAUGGAUCUAGCGCCGUACGCAGAUGCAGAGGUCUUGCGGUCUCUGUUGCUCGAGUUAUCUACUGUCGUUCGAGUAUAUUUGCCUGCUUCCUUUUGACUGGGUUUAUUGUGUAUGCAGUAGUAGUCAUGUCCACGCGUUCUUGCCUUGAGGCGAUGGCAAUUUGUUUAAAACCGCAAGGCAGCUUUGCUUUCUACAGUAUCUCCUUCCUUGUUUUGUUCUGUGUAGUACGUCUUGGUUGGUCAAAAGCUACUAAAACAUUUACUGUUCUGUCGACCGAGGCCUGAGGCAGAGCUAAGGCUUGCCGAUUAUUGCUUACAACGCCAAGUUGCAAUUAGCUGGGAUGUGUAGCGUGGCUAGCUUGUGUUGAUUGGUUUUGAGAUAUAAUUGGAAACUGAUUGUGUGUCAGUACAACAAACGUGAUGUUUUUUUUGAAUAGCAAACGUGCUGAUGGAAGUGUCUUUUCAUACGUGAUUCUGAUUUGCACUUCUCGGUCAAAGGCAUCUCUAGUACGUGACACACUUUGGAUGUGCAAACUUGGUUUUGUUUUGCAUGCUUACUUGUUUAGUGAACUUGAUGCCAUGCUUAUUUCAUAUAUCUAAUAGUAACCUGCAAAAAAAUAUUGUAAUUGCCAAGCUUGAUUUGUUCUACUUGCCUGCUACAAACUAUUCAAAUAACUACUACUUAAUUAGUAGCAUGUAGACUGGAUUAUUAUUUUGUCAACAUUUUAUUCUAGAGAUAUUUACAAAAGCAUGUGUUGUCCAUCCCAUGUAGCAAUCACUGCUAGUUUGUAUUGAGCAAAUAGAGCACCGCACUGUAGCUAGCCUCGCGCGGCAGCUGCCGCCCGGGACGCGGUGUGCGUCGAGUGCAGUAUAGAUUUUCCAAUCUUUCUUUCAAAAUGACAAGUUGUAUUAGUACACCAUCAUGGGACAAAAGUAGCUGAACUGCACUUACUGUCAGGUCAGGGUGGUUUAUAGUGUUGCCUUUCAUCAAAAUCUCAAGAGGCCUUCUCAAAUCAGCUAUUAUUUUUUUCGCAUUUGCAGUGAGCUUUAACCGGAAAAUACCAUUAUCAGUCUUUUCGAAAUUGUAAGACACACCUGCAUGAAAUGGAAAACUAGUUACAUCUUCAAACUCACCAGUAGAUAUAAGCUUAAGCUUUUUGCAGUCUCAAACAAUCACACAAACAAUAUAAAUUCAGAAACGAAGCUACAUAAGAUUAGCAGCAUAACACUUGUGAUUUAGGCUUAUCAAGGAGAGGAAGGGGAUAUCCCUAUUUACUAAUGUUACAGAUUCUUGGAUGUGUACCUUGGUUGCAGUCUUGCAAGUGAUCACACACAUACAUGUGUAAACUAGUGUAUCUACCAACAAACUCUUGCGGUGAUUCUUGAAAAUGAAUCACAUCUGAGCAGAAAUAACACAUAGUCCUGAAUUUAACAACAACCAAAAAAAACUUGCAUACCAAUAGGAACACCAAAAAUAUUGUAUGUACGCAUACUACCCCCAAUCAAAAUUACUUGCCAUAUUUAGCCCCUGAAAACAAACAAGGGCCAGUUCUGGCACUUUUCAUCUCUAAAGGAGAGAUGGUCAUUUAAUUGAGGAGUUGUAAACAUGACAUAUUAGUGAUGCAUCAUCAUUUAUUAUUUUUAUGGAGCAAACGCACAUGAUAGGCUCAACAGCUGGCGUUGAGUUGUUAGAGCUCAACGCCAACAUAUAUGGUGUUGAACCGUGGCCUCCUUCCUUUGACCCUUGGGUGAAUUACAAAAGUGAGUGUUGGCUUGUUAUAUAACGAGCUGCAGUGCUUGGCCUAGAAAGAUUCUUCCAUACCCAGUAGCAGCGUUCAUCCUUUACUCUAUUUUUUCUCUUUUCUUUAUUCAUGCACGUACUGGUUUAACUUAUUUGCAAGCUUCUGCUCCAAGAUGGCAAUCACUGAUGCCUACUCUGUUGUUUCACCUUGUGCUACCGGGAAAAUCACAUGUGGUGGAUGGCUUGAGGCAGGCAAAAAUGACAACGACGAAGGUAGCGCAGUUCAGCCCCAUCCACUCUCGCGUUGAACACAAACAGCUCAACCCUGGGGUGUAUGGCGUUGAACGUGUUUGUUCCACAAAAGUGCUAAGUUUUUUCAAAUACCAAAGUGCUAACAUGAAAAGUUCUAUGGAACAAGAGGUACCAGAAGGUGGAGAACAAAAGAGUGAUGUUGGUGUUGUUGUUGACCUUUUCUCACUAAAGAAUGUCCCUCCAACACAUUUCUCCCUCACUGGUUGUGUUGUUUUGGUUGGUGCCAUCUUAUGAACAUGUGGUGUAAUGAUACUACUGGGCCUAACUUAAUGAAAUCUUGGAGAAUUA